rnacentral:rRNA from 1 species
GAUGAACGCUGGCGGCGUGCCUAAUACAUGCCAGUCGAGCGAACAGACGAGGAGCUUGCUCCUCUGACGUUAGCGGCGGACGGGUGAGUAACACGUGGAUAACCUACCUAUAAGACUGGGAUAACUUCGGGAAACCGGAGCUAAUACCGGAUAAUAUAUUGAACCGCAUGGUUCAAUAGUGAAAGACGGUUUUGCUGUCACUUAUAGAUGGAUCCGCGCCGCAUUAGCUAGUUGGUAAGGUAACGGCUUACCAAGGCGACGAUGCGUAGCCGACCUGAGAGGGUGAUCGGCCACACUGGAACUGAGAAACGGUCCAGACUACUACGGGAGGCAGCAGUAGGGAAUCUUCCGCAAUGGGCGAAAGCCUGACGGAGCAACGCCGCGUGAGUGAUGAAGGUCUUCGGAUCGUAAAACUCUGUUAUUAGGGAAGAACAAAUGUGUAAGUAACUAUGCACGUCUUGACGGUACCUAAUCAGAAAGCCACGGCUAACUACGUG